UACGGAGGGGGCAAGCGUUGUUCGGAAUUACUGGGCGUAAAGGGCGCGUAGGCAGCCAGUUGCGUCGGGUGUGAAAGCCCCGGGCUCAACCUGGGAGGUGCACUUGAUACGGGCUGGCUGGAAUCCGGGAGAGGAUGGUGGAAUUCCCAGUGUAGAGGUGAAAUUCGUAGAUAUUGGGAAGAACACCGAUGGCGAAGGCAGCCAUCUGGACCGGGAUUGACACUGAGGCGCGAAAGCGUGGGGAGAAAACAGG
rnacentral:rRNA from 1 species